CAGCCAGCUAAGGCUCCCUGUACCCUGUUAGUCGGCUUUACAGCACCUGGAAUUGACCGCCACACGGAGCCUGGCGCUAAGGCCUGGCCGGCCCAGGUCUUCCUGCAGAACCCUUGGGGAGGCGCUGUGCUCCCGAGCCCGGGGGUGGGUGGGUUUAUCUGACCCGUCCUCAGGACCGCCAUGCGGGUGGGGUGGUGCAGGGUGCCCCCCCACAGGGUGCCCCCAGGGGAGGCACCCCCACACGGUGCCCGGCAGUCCUGCCUGCCUGGAGAGCUUUCUCUGCAGAGGAGACUCCAUGAUCCCAGCCUCCAUCCUGGAAUCUGAGAGAAGGAACAGAAAACGGAAGGAUGAUCCAGCCUCUACACUCACAAACGAACUUCUUGUUUGAAGACAUAACCUUUUUAUUCCCAAGUCUUCCCCCAACACCCAGCUUUACUGAGGUAUAAAUGACAAAUAAAACUUGUAUACAGGAGGCUGAGGCAGGAGAAUUGCUUGAACCCAGAGACAGAGGUUGUAGUGAGCCGAGAUCGAGCCAUUGCACUCCAGCCUGGGCGAAAGAGUGAGACUGUCUUAAAACAAAACUUGUAUAUAUUUUUGGUGUACAACAUGAUUCAAUAAACAUCUACACUGUGAAAUGAUACCACAAUCAAGUGAAGACAGAGUCUUUGUUAGACGUGUAGGGAGGUUUGAGAAAUUAUUGCCAGAGGUUUUAAAAUCAGGGUUUCAGGCCAGGUCCAGUGGCUCACGCCUCUAAUCUCAGCACUUUGGGAGGCCGAGGUGGGCCGAUCACCUGAGGUCAGGAGUUCAAAACCAGCUUGGCCAACACGGUGAAACCCCAUCUCUACUAAAAAUACAAAAAUUAUCUGUGUGCGGUGGCGAGCGCCUGUAGUCCCAGCUACUCAGGAGGCUGAGGCAGGAGAAUCGCUUGAACCCAAGAAGCGGAGGUUGCAGUGAGCCAAGACCGCACCACUGCA
rnacentral:lncRNA from 10 species